rnacentral:lncRNA from 1 species
CCCGCUAAAAAACUGGAAGAGAGUAUUAAAUUUGGUGUAAGAUUACAAAGACUGCUUCUUUAAUUCAAGUCUUGGAAACACUAUGGAAAGGAGUCCUUGAAAAUACAACAAAACAUCAAGGAAUUAAUUACAAAAUAUCUGCCUUCUCAUACUCUCUGCUUUUCCAUCCUCAGCCUCCUUCUACCACCACUAGCAUCCUAUAGAAUUGAAAAUCAGAACAAAGGGGUGAGAAGAGAUCAACAGAACAUAGGACCUGACACAUUUGUGAAGAAUGACAGAUAUUUUCCAAGAAAUCUUCAGAUCAACCUGGAUCCAAUUUUCUUAACUCAUGAAUGGUUUUUGAGCACAAGUGGAUGGUGGGCAUUUAUAUUAUGUCUCCUUACAAGCAGACAACGUCCUACAGAAUCAGCGAGAGCUUCUUGCAGCCUUGAAAGGGUGUUGCUGUGUUCAAGGACGGAUUUAAACAAUGAGGAGACAUCAGGUUGGAAGAGUCUCUGA